AUGAAACGCUGCGGGCAGGCCUAACACAUGCAAGUCGAGCGGAUGAAGGGAGCUUGCUCCUGGAUUCAGCGGCGGACGGGUGAGUAAUGCCUAGGAAUCUGCCUGGUAGUGGGGGAUAACGUCCGGAAACGGGCGCUAAUACCGCAUACGUCCUGAGGGAGAAAGUGGGGGAUCUUCGGACCUCACGCUAUCAGAUGAGCCUAGGUCGGAUUAGCUAGUUGGUGGGGUAAAGGCCUACCAAGGCGACGAUCCGUAACUGGUCUGAGAGGAUGAUCAGUCACACUGGAACUGAGACACGGUCCAGACUCCUACGGGAGGCAGCAGUGGGGAAUAUUGGACAAUGGGCGAAAGCCUGAUCCAGCCAUGCCGCGUGUGUGAAGAAGGUCUUCGGAUUGUAAAGCACUUUAAGUUGGGAGGAAGGGCAGUAAGUUAAUACCUUGCUGUUUUGACGUUACCAACAGAAUAAGCACCGGCUAACUUCGUGCCAGCAGCCGCGGUAAUACGAAGGGUGCAAGCGUUAAUCGGAAUUACUGGGCGUAAAGCGCGCGUAGGUGGUUCAGCAAGUUGGAUGUGAAAUCCCCGGGCUCAACCUGGGAACUGCAUCCAAAACUACUGAGCUAGAGUACGGUAGAGGGUGGUGGAAUUUCCUGUGUAGCGGUGAAAUGCGUAGAUAUAGGAAGGAACACCAGUGGCGAAGGCGACCACCUGGACUGAUACUGACACUGAGGUGCGAAAGCGUGGGGAGCAAACAGGAUUAGAUACCCUGGUAGUCCACGCCGUAAACGAUGUCGACUAGCCGUUGGGAUCCUUGAGAUCUUAGUGGCGCAGCUAACGCGAUAAGUCGACCGCCUGGGGAGUACGGCCCGCAGGGUUA
rnacentral:rRNA from 1 species